AUUGAACGCUGGCGGCAGGCCUAACACAUGCAAGUCGAGCGGAUGAAGGGAGCUUGCUCCUGGAUUCAGCGGCGGACGGGUGAGUAAUGCCUAGGAAUCUGCCUGGUAGUGGGGGAUAACGUCCGGAAACGGGCGCUAAUACCGCAUACGUCCUGAGGGAGAAAGUGGGGGAGAUUCGGACCUCACGCUAUCAGAUGAACCUAGGUCGGAUUAGCUAGUUGGUGGGGUAAAGACUUUCCAAGGCGACGAUCGGUAACUGGUCUGAGAGGAUGAUCAGUCACACGGGAACUGAGACACGGUCCAGACGCCUACGGGAGGCAGCAGUGGGGAAUAGUGGGCAGUGGUCGAAAGCCUGAUCCAGCCAGGCCGCGUGUGUGAAGAAGGUCUUCGGAUUGGAAAGCACUUUAAGGUGGGAGGAAGGGCAGUAAGUUAUUACCUUGCGGUUGUGACGUUACCAACAGAAGAAGCACCGGCUAACUUCGUG
rnacentral:rRNA from 1 species